rnacentral:rRNA from 1 species
CCGGAGAAUGUUAUCACGGGAGACACACGGCGGGUGCUAACGUCCGUCGUGAAGAGGGAAACAACCCAGACCGCCAGCUAAGGUCCCAAAGUCAUGGUUAAGUGGGAAACGAUGUGGGAAGGCCCAGACAGCCAGGAUGUUGGCUUAGAAGCAGCCAUCAUUUAAAGAAAGCGUAAUAGCUCACUGGUCGAGUCGGCCUGCGCGGAAGAUGUAACGGGGCUAAACCAUGCACCGAAGCUGCGGCAGCGACGCUUAUGCGUUGUUGGGUAGGGGAGCGUUCUGUAAGCCUGCGAAGGUGUGCUGUGAGGCAUGCUGGAGGUAUCAGAAGUGCGAAUGCUGACAUAAGUAACGAUAAAGCGGGUGAAAAGCCCGCUCGCCGGAAGACCAAGGGUUCCUGUCCAACGUUAAUCGGGGCAGGGUGAGUCGACCCCUAAGGCGAGGCCGAAAGGCGUAGUCGAUGGGAAACAGGUUAAUAUUCCUGUACUUGGUGUUACUGCGAAGGGGGGACGGAGAAGGCUAUGUUGGCCGGGCGACGGUUGUCCCGGUUUAAGCGUGUAGGCUGGUUUUCCAGGCAAAUCCGGAAAAUCAAGGCUGAGGCGUGAUGACGAGGCACUACGGUGCUGAAGCAACAAAUGCCCUGCUUCCAGGAAAAGCCUCUAAGCAUCAGGUAACAUCAAAUCGUACCCCAAACCGACACAGGUGGUCAGGUAGAGAAUACCAAGGCGCUUGAGAGAACUCGGGUGAAGGAACUAGGCAAAAUGGUGCCGUAACUUCGGGAGAAGGCACGCUGAUAUGUAGGUGAAGUCCCUUGCGGAUGGAGCUGAAAUC